UACGUAGGCAGCAAGCGUUGUUCGGAGUUACUGGGCGUAAAGGGUGCGUAGGCGGUUGUUUAAGUUUGGUGUGAAAUCUCCCGGCUCAACCGGGAGGGUGCGCCGAAUACUGAACGGCUAGAGUGCGGGAGAGGAGAGUGGAAUUCCUGGUGUAGCGGUGAAAUGCGUAGAUAUCAGGAGGAACACCGGUGGUGUAGACGGCUCUCUGGACCGUAACUGACGCUGAGGCACGAAAGCGUGGGGUAGCAAACAGG
rnacentral:rRNA from 1 species